rnacentral:rRNA from 1 species
GACGAACGCUGGCGGCGUGCCUAAUACAUGCAGGUCGAGCGGACCGAAGGGAGCUUGCUCCUUUAGGUUAGCGGCGGACGGGUGAGUAACACGUGGGCAACCUGCCCUGCAGACUGGGAUAACUUCGGGAAACCGGAGCUAAUACCGGAUAACACCGAAAACCGCAUGGUUUUCGGUUGGAAGGCGGCAUUAGCUGUCACUGCAGGAUGGGGCCGCGGCGCAUUAGCUAGUUGGUGAGGUAACGGCUCACCAAGGCGACGAUGCGUAGCCGACCUGAGAGGGCGACCGGCCACACUGGGACUGAGACACGGCCCAG